GAAAGUGCCUUAAGAGGGGGACCCUCAGCCUGGGGUCACUGUCUGGGGUGGACAGUGCGAGCUCGUGCAGGGGCAGCAGCUAGGCUCCAAGAGCGAGCACUCUCCUUGACCGUCACCCGAGGAAGAACUCUGCUCCAUGGGCCCACAGGCUGAAAUUUCCACUGUUUUCCAUCCUUUGGUUAAUGUGUUGCCCUGAACAAGACAGAACAAGUAGGACACGGAAAAGCCCUCCCCGAGGCCGCCUUCCUGCCCUGUAGGACCGCAGCUGCCGGGAUCCAUUUCCUGCUUGGGAGAGCAGUGCCAAGGACAGGAGUGGGGCCGGCUGCCCACAGGCUGGCCCAAAGGCCACCCAGGGUCAGAAGACAGACAGGCAACCAGCUAUGAGUCACUUGUCAUCUGUAUUUGAGUUAAUCAGACUGGGCAGCCCCCACCUCGCUCAGCCAACUGUGGAGCCUGUCCUCUGGGGCCCUGGCCUGCACAGCUGCCACUCACCGGCUCCAUCCCAUGGACAGGCACAGUUGUCUAUGCUUCACCCACUGAUGAACGCUUCGGUUGCUUCCAUCUCUUGGCAGUUGUGAAUAGUGCUGCUGUGAAUGUGCCAGGCCGCAGGGGUGCAGCCACCAGGUACCUCACUCUGCGGCAUCUGGGUGUCAUGAGUGUCGUCCGGUGACGAGGACCUCACUCCCCAUGUGUCACUGGAAGUGGCCGUUACCAGCCAGGACCAGAGAGACCAUGGACGCAGAAACAUAGCCACCAUGCUCAAGCCAAGAGCGAAUGGUUCUCCUUUAAAAAUAUCCUGUAACAGAGCUUCCCUGGUGGUUCAAUGGUUAAGAGUCCACCUUGCAACACAGAGGACACCGGUUCAGUCCCUGGUCUGGGAAGAUCCCACACGCAGCAGAGCAGCUAAGCCUGCGAGCCGCAGCUGCUGAAGCCUGUGCGCCCUGAGAGCUGGUGCUCUGCAACAGGAGAAGCCACCGCCGAGAGGCCCGUGCAUCACAACUAGAGAAAAGCCCCCACAAAGCAACAAAGA